CACGUAGGGGACGAGCGUUGUCCGGAUUCAUUGGGCGUAAAGCGCGCGUAGGCGGCUCGGAAAGUCGGUCGUGAAAUGCCGGGGCUCAACCCCGGGACUGCGUCCGAUACUCCCGAGCUGGAGGCAGGUAGGGGAGAUCGGAAUUCCUGGUGUAGCGGUGAAAUGCGCAGAUAUCAGGAGGAACACCGGUGGCGAAGGCGGAUCUCUGGGCCUUGCUUGACGCUGAGGCGCGAAAGCUAGGGGAGCGAACAGG
rnacentral:rRNA from 1 species